UUGCUUCCACAACAUAUAUACUACAACUGGAAACUUACAGAGAUUAGCAUGGUCCCUGCCAAGGAUGACGUGUAAAAUGGUGAAGCAUUCUUUAUUUUC
rnacentral:snRNA from 1 species